rnacentral:rRNA from 1 species
UACGUAGGGUGCGAGCGUUGUCCGGAAUUAUUGGGCGUAAAGAGCUCGUAGGCGGUCUGUCGCGUCGAUCGUGAAAACUUGGGGCUUAACCCUGAGCUUGCGGUCGAUACGGGCAUGACUGGAGUUCGGCAGGGGAGACUGGAAUUCCUGGUGUAGCGGUGAAUGCGCAGAUAAUCUGGAGGAACACCGGUGGCGAAGGCGGCGAUCCUGGACCAACACGUGGACGCUGACGGAGCGAAAGCCAGGGGAGCAAAGCGGGAUUAAGCAAACCCGUGGUAACGUC